GAGUUUGAUCGUGGCUCAGAGCGAACGCUGGCGGCAUGCUUAACACAUGCAAGUCGCACGGUCAGCAAUGGCAGUGGCGGACGGGUGAGUAACACGUAGGAAUCUAUCUCUGGGUGGGGGACAACAGUGGGAAACUACUGCUAAUACCGCAUGAUACCUGAGGGUCAAAGGCGUAAGUCGCCUGGAGAGGAGCCUGCGUCUGAUUAGCUUGUUGGUGGGGUAAAGGCCUACCAAGGCUACGAUCAGUAGCUGGUCUGAGAGGAUGAUCAGCCACAUUGGGACUGAGACACGGCCCAAACUCCUACGGGAGGCAGCAGUGGGGAAUAUUGGACAAUGGGCGAAAGCCUGAUCCAGCAAUGCCGCGUGUGUGAAGAAGGUCUUCGGAUUGUAAAGCACUUUUGGCAGGGACGAUGAUGACGGUACCUGCAGAAUAAGCCCCGGCUAACUUCGUGCCAGCCGCCGCGGUAAU
rnacentral:rRNA from 1 species